GAAAGAGAAACAGGAAGGGCCCUCUCUUUUCCCCUCGGCUCCUGCUCCAGCGGCACAAUGUGAUCCACCAGCUAGGAGGGACGCCAAUAAGGCGUCUGAUAAGAUAAGUCUUAUAAAAUAUAUAGAUGUAUGAUAAUUGAGACUGAGCUAACAGAUUGAUUCUGAAUCCUGGCACUUUGCUGAAUUUGUUUACCAUAUCUUCUGGUAAAACUGUUGAGAUCUUUAAUGUAUAGUAUCAUGGCAUCUGAAAACAGAGUCCCACUCUUCUACAUAUCAUACUGAAUCUACCACUGACAAAUGAAUGUGGGUUCCAGUACCACUUUCAACCAACAAAAUCCAGGAUGCUCAGAGUUCUCAUGGUUCUCUUUCUCACCCAAAGGAAGGGUAAGGCAGAGCCUUAGCAUGAACAGAUAUCAACACAUGUAUUCUUUAAAAGCAAUCAUAUCUAGGGCAAAAAGAAAAUAAAAAAACUUCAAUCAUUUUCAUAGGAAUUAUUAUAAACGAAUUCCAAUUCGAUCAUUCAAAUGUGUUGCGGUUGGCUAAACUGUCUACUUAUUCAUUCUUUGUCACCAUAUGCCAGGUAAAUGAGCUAUUAUUUUGCACACACAGAGUCACUUAAAGGUUAUAGAAACAAAUGAAGGUGCCAUAGGAAGACUGAACAACCACAUUUCCCUCAAACCUCAACAGUAUUUGGCAAUACACAGGUAUUUCUUACCAUGACACUGCAGAAAAUUCUCUUCUGAACUGUAGUCUACCCAUGCAAUAAAGUUUCUUACUUUAAUUGAUGUCAUUACAAAUUCUUCAAAUUGCAGGUUUGAUUUAUUACUGCAUCAUCGGAAUACAGGGAGCCGUGUGCCAUUAUUUUACUAGUUAACAUUCUUCCGGAGACAUUGGAAUGAAUGUAGGCUACUCUGUAGAAAUAUUGACUGAAAUCAUAGCCUUUGCACACACUGAAGGCAGCACAAUCAAAUGUGCUCCAUUAUUCUAGGCAUUUAGCAAGAUCUCAGAGGUUAUUGCCAGAAAUCUAUGAAGCAGGGAACAGAAAGAGUGUAUCAUGGGAAGAAAGCGCUAACGUCGCAGGCAUUCACUGGUUCAGCCUUUAUGAUUCUCUGGCGGUGAUGUAAUCACCAGGGAGGAAUAUCAGCAAAAAUUACAUAAACCUCUCUUCACCAAUUGUCAGCUUGUAUACUGUAGAUUAAGCACUGCCACAGGCUUCUAGUGGUUGGCAACUCAGGCUGUGGAAAAUGUCACAAAGGCCUUGCUAGCCCACUAGCUGUGCUCCAUAGAGCAGAAAAUUAAGCCUGGCAUAUUUGGGGGAGGAGUCUUCUUGUCUGUAAGAAUUUAUAAAAAUAGCCAUAUGGAUAGAACCCAGGGUCACAUUUGUAAGUCCUUAAUAGUUUCACCAUAAAUAAUUUUGUGACACAUGCUAAAAUCUUAGCUCAUUCUGUCUCAAAGUCUAGGUAAUGUUUACUUGACAGAAUUCGUUUCCCCUUCUAAUUAUGAAGAUAUAUAAAGAGCAUAAUAAAAUAUUUUCACGUCUAUGGCACAUCAAAAUAUACUGAAUAAAAUCAAUAUCAACAACUGCAUUCUACCUUCAAUUACUGAAUUUCUUUGCUUCCUCUCGAGUAAGUAUUAAGUAUGAACAGAUAAUCAUUCAUCAAAGUAUUAGAGUUUCAUCGUGAAUAAAUGAGACUCAUUGUACAAAGGCAAUGCAACAAAUGGAAUCAUUAAUCUAAGUAACAUUAUGCUGAAGUUUAUUGUUUUUUAUGUGUUUAUAGUUUGAAUUAUGCUUAGCUUUCAAACAAAUACUAUUCUGUAGUAACAUAUUCACUUAGACAUUUUUGAAACAUUUAAAUGCAUUUCUUUUUCUCCUUUUACAGAAACAUACAGUUCUGUCAGAGGGGCUACACCUUAUUUGUGAAUGAGGAGUAAAACUGUGGUACAGAAACGUUCACCAGAAGGGAACGUUUGGAGAAAAAUACCACAUUUGUGUUCCUAGAAAAGUUCGCACAACUUAGGGAACAGCAUCAAGCUAUUUAUUUGAGUCAAUGGUUUCAUCAAAAUAAGGUUACAUCUCCAUAUCCCAUUCCAGUUUUCAUAUUUUGCUUUGGCUGUUGCUUGGUGAAACUUCCAGUCAAGAGCAGAAUGAGGUAUCUAGAAUCUUUCAGAGUAGGCAAGGAGUUAGACAAAGAGAAAUCAGGUUCUCAAGGGCAGAGCUCAAAAUGUUCACAGGCUGACAGUUCAGUGAGCCCCAUCAACGGCCAGUCACUGCUCCACUGUAGAGGAAGGAGAGGGGCAGCUUAUGACUUGAAGGUCUUAAGUCAAAGAUGAACUGAGUCAAACUGGCUGCUAAACCAGAGUAAGCUGAUGACAUUAACACAAUGCUUUCUGGGCCCAAACCUAAUGAAACCAAAUGAGUAGAUCCAUAGCAACAGAGACUGUUGUUGCUCUUUUCAGAUCCAAAACUAACACAGACUAAAAGGUAAAGUCACACUAAUAAGCCCAGUCAGUUAUCUCUCAAACACUAAUGAGCUUUUGGCCACACAGAAUACACUGACUACAAAGUUAAAACCUAACAGUAAUAGACUCCGGUGAAUAAUUUUUCCUUGUUUACCACAAGCAAGCAGAGAAAUGUCACCACUCCAGAGGCUCGAAUUAUUUGGGGUAGAAGAUAUUUUUUUUUUAAUGGUCAAGUCAAUAAAAGACUCAGUGGACAAAGCCUUGAGAAAACACCAAGUAGGACGCUGGUGGACUUGUAACUUUCAUCUGUCAAUCCCCAUCCAAGCUGAUAAAAGUUCUCAGGCUUCAAAGUAUAACCUCAAACAAGAGCUAGAAACCAUUAUGCAGUCCCAACUACUCAAGAGGUGCAUAGGAGACUGCAUAAGCCAGUUUAAGGUCAGUCUGGGCAAUACAGUGAGACUAUCAUCUCAAAAGAAGGGGGAGUGAUCAUUACAUGAUUUUCUAAUUACCCACAAAUUUUAUUUUACUCUUUCAUUAACACAAAUAAUCUACUUCUGUUUGCCCUUGAAUUCCAGUAUCAAUCUAAACACCUUGCCCUGCUACUUUUACACCUAGUUUCAAACAGGGCAGGCACAAUGGUGAGCACCACAGCAUAUGCCACAUAGUACCACCACAUCUGAUGGACAGGUGGCUCUAAACUCUGGACCAGAGGAAGAGGAUUCUCUCAUAGUGGAAAGAAGCUGCAGUGUGUGGAGGAGUCUGAAGGACCACAGUUGGCAACAACUAUUAUUAGGAAGAAUUCCUAGGCAGUGAAGACCAACAGCAGAUGCUGAAGAUGGAAGGAGAAAAUCUCAGGAUGAGAAGGGGGAAUGAUUAUCCGGGCAGUGUAGUUACAGCAAAACUGGCCAUGGGCACAAAGGACUAGGAGAGUGACGCAGCCUUGAGGAGAGUGUGAACUUCCCGUGACUGAACUGUUCUUCCACAGGAGGAAGCAGAGAGUGUGAGCCAUGGCCAGAAUACUAAGUAUGAAGCCAUGGUUAGAUCUGAAACAAAAAAGCAGUGACAAGGGUUUGAGUUUAGAGAAAAAGUGAAGUCAUUCCCGUUUACCAUCCAAAAAUCGGUGGGCAUCAAAAGUCACAGCUGGCACCAAAACCUUUGUAUAUUACAUUUGUUAAUAUACGGCAGCCAAUUCAUAAAUCAGAGAACAGUGAAGCCAGCUUGACACCUCACCUCAUCUAGGGGAAUGUGGGUGUAGACAGGAAAUGAAAGUUGCCUCAGACUAAUGGCUUCUUUGUUCCCCACUCAUUACCUGUUCUCUGAGUCUACUGGAAAUACAUGCACACAUGUGC
ensembl:lncRNA